AUGGACCUGGACCCCGCCGUCAUCAUCCCCGCCAUCCUCUUCACCGUCGUUGCCAUUUAUUUCGCUACGUCGCUCCUCAGCAGGAAGCCCGACGCCUCCUCCUCGUCUGCCGGGAGCAAGAAGUCCAAACUCGGGUACAGAGACGACCUUCCUCCGCAAGGAGCUCUGGAAGAAGAGCCCGAAGCCUCCCUGCGACCAGAGCCCCCAGCUCCGGCUGUGGAGGACAUAGGAGCCGCCGAGAAGAUCCAGGCUGUCCCAGAACCACAACAUGUCCCUGAACCAGUGAAGAUACCAGAAGCUGAGCCAGAAGCAGCAGAAGAUCCAGAGGACAGAGAAGCAGUCACAGCACCAGAACCUGUGGCACAACCAAAAAAAGUGCCAGAGACAAGAACAGAACGACCACCGGCCCCAGAAGCAGUCCCUGAACCAACAAAAGAGCCAAAGUCUGUUCCAGAACCAGUCACAGUAUCAGAACUUGUCUCUGAAGCUGUGUCAGGCCCAGAACCUGUUCUUGAACCAGAUGAAGCACAAGAAGCAGCACCAGUGUCUGAACCCAUACCAGGCUUGGUAUCAGGCCCAGAACAAGCUGCAGAACCUACCCCAGAGUCCAAACCUGUAGCAGAGCCCUUAUCAGAACCAGCCAGGUCCCCUGAACUCGUAUCUGAACCCAAAACUGUCCCAGAACCUGUUACUGAUCCAGAGCCUGUGCUCGUGUCUGAAGUGGCAGCCCAGAAGCCCGCGACUGAACCUGAAGAACUGCUUGAGCAGAUGCCCGGACCCAAUGAAGGUCUGACAGAACCAUCGCGUGAGCGGGAACCCGAACCAGAGACCGUCCUGGAUGACGAUGUGGCUGCAGCUGCUGAUGUGCUGAACUUCACCCCGGGAAUGAAACAGAGUAAGGUGGCAGUGCUGAUGACCCAGGAGGACAUGGAGGAGGAGCAGAGCUGAUCCGUGAGGAUGAGGAGCGCUGAAGAGAUGAAGAUCAGACCCUGCAGAAAGUCCUGCCUGCUUUCUUCUCUUGUUGUUGAGUUUUGAGGUUUGAGCUGCUUGUGAAUAGCAAACGUCUUCACACCAAAGUGCCUUCAGGAGUUUCUUCUGUCUGCUUUUCGUGUCCAGCCUUUCUGAAGCAAACAAAUUAAUUAUGUGAGUGAAUGUUAAUGAAGUUAACCUCAGUAUAACCUAGUUCUCACUGCUGGUUUCAAAUGAAAAAAGAAAAUUAGACGACAAGCUGCAAUAAAACGUUCCUGCUAGCUUCAGUGUUCAGUUGUGAUUUUAAAUGUUAACCAUGAAAUAAAAGUGUGAAACAUGUUGUUGAUUCUUUCUGAUCUUUGUUUUGUAAAUUCUGGAUUAUUAAAAAUACUUUUGCCCAUUCUCAGUGUUUGUUUACUCUUUCCUGUUUCCUGUUUUUGCUUCAAAGUUUAGGUGGAGCUGACAGAGACAACAGCACCAUCAGGUGAUUGUUUAGAGGCAACACAUGCAAAACUAAAAGUGUAACCACAGACGACAUAAAAAAUGAAUGUCCCUCCAAAAAUGGCAAACCUGCAUUAAGACCUCCUCUGGCUGUAAGAGGUCAGGAGGUGAGCCUGCUGCUCAGCUGAUCUCUGAGCUCAGCAAGCCGGUCGGGUCGAUGGUCUCGGUCUCUGGUUUUAGGUUGUAUUCAAUAAAAAAUGACGUUUAUUUUCCCGUGAGAGUAGCAAAGGAGCUGGAAGCAGGAGGAGCUGGCUUUUGUUCCUCGCUCUCUCUCACUGAGAAUUUAGGAUCAAAAGUGACGAGUGACAAGUCUGGUUUCAAAAUAUCAAGAUGCAGAUGACGGAAAUGCUCCUGUUUUAUCUCAGGCUGAAGACCUAACACAGACGAGGGGCAGACGAAAUAAUGAGAGAGAAGUAAAGACAAGAAACGUGAUGACAAAAAGCACUCGUGAAUCAAUUGUAGAUGGUUCAGCACCGUCAGCUUACAGCCACUGCCGGGAUUCCUCAGUGGAAACACUUUCAGAGACAUUUGCAGUGCUAGAGUAUUUGGACUGGUUUCAUUUAGCUGGAUGUGUGUUGGAGUUAAAACUGCUGAUUAAUGAAGAAAAUCAGAUUUUGAUCCACAUGCAGUAACAUCUGGAAGAUUCUGAUUGGCAGCCUCAUUUUUCAGCCUGACAAUGAUCCCAAACACACUGCCAGUGCAGUGAAAGCAUGCCAACACACAGUGGAGCAUCCCUGAAGCAGUGUGGGGACAUCCUGAGGCAGAAACAUCCAAAGAAGAGCUCUGAACGUCCUUCAAGAAGCCUGGAGAAGAGAUCCUCAGAGAGCUGAAGGAUGAAGGUGCUCACACCAAACAUUCAUUGUCAAGCUCGUUGGCUGAAGGCUUCAGUGCAGUUCUGUCUAAUGAUGUGCUACCUGGUUGCUAGCUGCAGGCAGAGCUAUGUAAGGCUCAUAUCAACACAUUACAGAUGGUGAGACUGUUAGCUGUUUGCAAUAAUCUGGUUCAUUUAUAUGAAUUAAUUCGGUGAACAUCCAAAUCCACAAUCUGAAAACACCUGAGCGAGGAUCAACAAUAAAAACGAUCCCGGAGGCUAAACUGUUAACUGUAUGUGUGUGUGUGUGUGUGUGUGUGUUGACAUCCCAGGGUACAACAGGAGCAGCUGGCAGCCAUCUUCCAGCUGCUGAAGGCGAACCAGGAGGUGACGGAGGCCGACAUAGAGGAGCAGCUGAAGCUUUACUCCCUCUGAAACACGAGAGACGCCAUCGAUCUGUCCACUCAGGAAGUCUAUCUCCAUGACCGCCAUCAUCAACAUCGUGUCCAAAUCACCACAGCUGGAUGUCACAUGCUUGUUUAUUAAAAAGUUGGAUUUCUUGUCCUGUUCUGAUGUUCGACGCUCAGAGUGACUCCAGACUGCAGCUCGCCAUCUGUCAGACUCUUAAUAGUGACAUCACUUCCUGCCAAAGUAAUGCUAGGCUAAAUUUUAGUAGCAGUUUGAAGAAGGCACUAAAUGAAGCUGGCAGGCUUCAGAUUCAUAUUCAUGGCAGACACGUGAGCGCGGCGGCAUCCUCGAGACGUUUCCCCUCAAACCGCUUUGUUGGCUCUCGUCUGAGAGCUUCUGACGUCACCAAAGACCAAAAAAAGAAACAGUGUGUGGGAUGAUUUCAGCCUCAAAGCUCACUGAACUCUUUUAUACAUUAAUCUCUGUUAGUCAAAAAAAAAAACAUUUCAGUGCUCAUUAACAAACAUUUUUCAAAUAUUUGCUGUAAAUAUUGUUAUUUUAAAAUAUAUUAAUGUAACUUUUUUGCAUGAAUUUUGUCAUGAAAACAACUUUUUUCCCCUCCACCGUUCAUUUUUUAUUUAUUUUAUAGUUCAUUUAAAGCAUUUAUAGUAUUUUUAAUUAGUUUUCACAAUAAUAAUAAAAAUGUCCCCAAGUGUCCCCCGAGCUGUGAUUGGCCUCCUACACAGUUCUGGCUGCUUCUUCUUCUGUCACUGUUUUUCUGCACUGACCCCGGAGUAUCUGCAGUCACAAUAAAGCUGUUUGAAUUCUCGCAUUUGAGUGAAAUGUUAUAUUUCCCUGCAGGAAACGACAGAACACGCUGGGAUGAUCGUAAGACCGGCUUCUGUAGUCCAUCCUGUAGACAUUGUAGUUUCAGCAGUGCAGACAUGAUUAAGGAGUCCAGCGUAAAAGCAGUCUGCUUCUCCUUUCCUAAGUCCUUUUAAGUCUCUCCGUCACACCUUUCCUUCACUCCAUGGCCUUUUCCCACUGUGUGGAAACUGAUCUGGAAAAGGAGACAUGAGUUCAUGUCGGGGCAGCUGGAUCGACUCACAGAGAGAAACAUCAGUGCCACCUAGUGGUUGAUGGUGAAACUGCAGAACAACAGGCUCAGCAGCAGAGGCUUGUUUGUUUGGAGCUGCAGGCUGUGUUUCCUCCUGUGAGCAGCAGAGGGCAGCAUUUCACUAAACCACACAGCUUCAAGGCUUCACCUCUGAGACUGAGCAGAAACACGCUCUGCUUCCUGUUCGAGCUCUCUGUUUUUUCGUCUCACCCUCCCUUACUUCAUUUUUCAGGAGAGCCGACAAGGAAAAUGUCGGUCGAGUGAACCACGGGGUCGUCGAACUGAAACAGGCUCUCCUGCACACAGUCCUCAUUUAUACAGUUCUCUGCAAACCCGAACAUCACGGCUAACAGGAGGAUUUUCCUGUUCCAGCACAGCCAAACAUCGAAGAACCACUUACUGCUAAAGAGACUGACAGGGGAAGUGCGCACUACAUCCUUGGUUUCUUAACAUAGAGCUU
rnacentral:lncRNA from 1 species